UGUAUCCAGUUUUGGUCUAUCUUAAGUGAUUUCCGACCACAUUUGUGAUGGGUUUACAAUUCAAGUAAUUUUGUACCGUAGACUACUGCACCGCAAACUACUGAAAUUAAUCAGUCAAAGCAUUUAAAGAAUGUUGUGCUGUUUGCCAUCCCAGUGCAGCAAAAGUUUAAAGAAUAGUUUAGAAAGAAAAGGAGGAUGGUGUGGGAGGAAACAUAAGGGUAAAACGUUGACAUUAGCUAUAGGGCUUGUGGCAUCAAUCAGCAUGACAUGAAGUCAUAUAAAAUGAUAGGAUAGAGAUGUCUGAUUAAAGCCGCCGGAGACCACGGAUCAUUUUCAGC